UAAGUGUUUAAUAUAUAUAUAUAUAUACACACACACUUAUCACUAAGAAAUCUACUUUACAACUCAUUAUCUACUUUAUAUUAUAUCACACUCUUAUCCUUAUCUAAAUCCUUAUCUAAAUGGAAUCUCUCUUGUACACAUGUGAAGCACUCAUACAAUUAUUACAUACAUUAUUAUCACCAUCGAUUCCACUGCGGGGUCCACUAUGCUUCCGCCUACAGUCCCGAGUUGCCACUUGUUGGCGUGCUUCUUCCCGAUAGACCUGCUCCUCUUUCUUCUAACAGGAUUUCCAUUCUGUCAGCAAGUUCUUGCCAAUCCGUGUCCUCUGGUUGUGGGUCCAGCUUUGGUUGUGGCCAUUGUUCUAGGUCCAACCAGUUAGCUAUCUCUUCAAGCUCUCCUCACCACCUGUCGAUCUCAGGGGUUCUCCAUGGAUACCCUUCUUGCUCUCUUCGAUGGCCCAUGAGGUAUUCUCUGUACCUCUCCUGCAUGUCCUCCUCCCCUUCAUUGUCAUUGUGGAGUCUCGCGUCCGGGCUUCAUGGAUCUGCUGAGGCCUAUUGGAGUUGUAAAGUAGAUUCCUUAGUGAUAAUGAUUAAACACAAAGAGUUCGUAGAACCAAUGGUCAAGGUGGUAGAGCACAACCAUUCGUUGCUGUGAAGCAUCCUGUCCACAUGGAGUCGAUGUAUUCACAUGAAGAUGGGUUUUGAGUUGGCACUUGCCUGUAUGGUAGCGACACGAAGUACUGUUCUCGAGCCCAAAAUUGGUUUGAGAGCUUAUAGACAUUAGACUCGCUCCAAGACCCUCUGACAUGCUACUGCAGACCAAGCAAGCGUAAGAAGGAGGGAGGCUCCUUCUUGAAAUUAUGGUAACCGGUCUGGAUAAGAAAUCGGCUACAGUGUACCUAUAUAUAUAUAUAUUAAGUAAUAAAAUGUAUUAAAAGGAUAAAGAAUUAUCAACAUUAAAUCACUGUAUAGGCACAAAUAGAAAAAAGUAUCAGGCCUUUGAUUAUAGGCUUAAUGGCCACAAGAAUCAAAAUGGCUUCUGUAAUUGAUUACAUAAAAAUUUACCACCGGCAAACUCACUUUAUUCCUAGUGUCCAAAAUUAAUUACGAAUGAGAAAUUAUCAUUCAAGGGCACAAAAUGAGAGGUUAAGGCCCCAUAACUUGUUCACUCUUUAGUCAAAUGAGUAUUAAUUAAGGAAAAUUAUCAUUUGUAUACCUUUAGUUUACUCCAUUAUAAAAAAUACUACAACAUUUUGAGGGUGUAUCAAUCGUCCACCCUAAAUUGAUAAAAUGUAUCAGUCGACCACCAAACCGUUAAUUGCCGUUUAAAUAUGAUGACGUCAGAAGGGUAAUCUGGUCUUUUCAUAUAAUAUAAGUGAUAAUUUAAGAGUAUACAAGUGAUAAUUUAAGGGUAUACAAGUGAUAAAAAGAGAAUUUAAGGAUAUACAAGUGAUAAUUUUCAAGGGUAAAAUCAUCAAUUCACUGUAAUUCUGUUAACUUUCAAACGGCAAUUAACGGUUUGGUGGUCAGCUGAUACAUUUUGUCAACUAAGAGUGGACGAUUGAUAUACCCUCAAAAUGUUAUAAUAUUUUUGAUAUCAGAACAAAUAUAGAACAAAUAUAGAGUAUACGAAUGAUAAUCUUUCAUUAAGGGAAAUUAAAAUUAAUUAUAUUAGCCUUCACGCUUUUCAGGAUUGUCAGCCGAAAUAAGGCGCUCGUGUUGCCAUCCAUCCUCCAAAGCAUCAUCUGAAAUUUUCAUUGACGACGACUUUGGCUUCCAAUACAUCGCAUAAAGCACUAAUUGAGCCGUGCCAAGA
rnacentral:lncRNA from 1 species